CGGGUGACGAGCGGCGGACGGGUGAGUAAUGUCUGGGAAACUGCCUGAUGGAGGGGGAUAACUACUGGAAACGGUAGCUAAUACCGCAUAACGUCGCAAGACCAAAGUGGGGGACCUUCGGGCCUCAUGCCAUCAGAUGUGCCCAGAUGGGAUUAGCUAGUAGGUGGGGUAAUGGCUCACCUAGGCGACGAUCCCUAGCUGGUCUGAGAGGAUGACCAGCCACACUGGAACUGAGACACGGUCCAGACUCCUACGGGAGGCAGCAGUGGGGAAUAUUGCACAAUGGGCGCAAGCCUGAUGCAGCCAUGCCGCGUGUAUGAAGAAGGCCUUCGGGUUGUAAAGUACUUUCAGCGAGGAGGAAGGCAUUAAGGUUAAUAACCUUAGUGAUUGACGUUACUCGCAGAAGAAGCACCGGCUAACUCCGUGCCAGCAGCCGCGGUAAUACGGAGGGUGCAAGCGUUAAUCGGAAUUACUGGGCGUAAAGCGCACGCAGGCGGUUUGUUAAGUCAGAUGUGAAAUCCCCGGGCUCAACCUGGGAACUGCAUUUGAAACUGGCAAGCUUGAGUCUUGUAGAGGGGGGUAGAAUUCCAGGUGUAGCGGUGAAAUGCGUAGAGAUCUGGAGGAAUACCGGUGGCGAAGGCGGCCCCCUGGACAAAGACUGAC
rnacentral:rRNA from 1 species